AGCUCCAAUAGCGUAUAUUAAAGUUGUUGCAGUUAAAAAGCUCGUAGUUGGAUUUCUGGUAGGAGUGACCGUUCCGAACUUGAUUGUUCGUGUAUUGUGUUUUCUCCAGCCAUCCUUGUGGAGAACUUUUCUUGCAUUAAUUUGUAGGGAUUGGGACCCGCAUCGUUUACUGUGAAAAAAUUAGAGUGUUUAAAGCAGGCAAUCGCUUGAAUACAUUAGCAUGGAAUAAUAAGAUAGGACUUUGGUACUAUUUUGUUGGUUUGCAUACCAAAUUAAUGAUCAACAGGAACAGUUUGAGGAUAUUCGUAUGAACAUGUCAGAGGUGAAAUUCUUGGAUUUUGAUCAGACGAACUACUGCGAAAGCAUUUAUCAAGGAUGUUUUCA
rnacentral:rRNA from 1 species